CACCCCCGACACUUGAAAUUAUUAAACAACCUUUGACGUCCCUCUCAUGAUUCGACUGGUAAAAGGACUGAGAAGUGCACCGUCAACGUUAGCAAACGGUGGCGUACAGUGAAGCCGGCCAUUGAUCCAAAACCUGUCAUUAUGAUGACCAGACGGCUUUUUGACGGAGAGGCACGUCAUCGUUGGCUGUGCUGGUUCUUCCUCCCAUUCUGCUUCUUCUUCUCGAUUCUCCGCUGCUUUUCCCCGAAGGUAUUGAAGAUGCCUUUUGAUUUGCUUAUCGGGUCUUUCUGUCUUUAACCAUCAAUUUCUUGUAAUUUUCGAAUCACUUCUUCUGCCGAAAGUUAUAGAAUUUUCGUGCUUUGGUGGAUUUCAUGGUAUGGAUUGAGUGCUUCCCACCUGAUUUCGGAGGAUUUAUGGGGAUCUUUGGGUUUGGGCUGCGCAUAGUCUUCCUCUAGUGAUUCCGAGAUCUCUUCCUCUCCCACAGUGGGUAGGGAUUAAAGAGGCUCUAUGCCUUGUGUAUGUCUGUUCAUCUUUGUUCACUGUGUCCUUCCACCUUCCGUGUAAUUUUUGACAGUAUUUAAUUUAAUUUCUUUUUAGGUAGAAACAGAGUUCAUGUCUUGACUCUUGUAGUUUCGGGUUUUUUCGUCUCUGUUGGACUUGCUGAUCUGUUUUAUGAGCUUGUGACCAUUUUCUUCUAGGGUUUUGAUGGAGAUGUCCAAUGGGGAUUAAUAUGGCGAAGGUGUUUUCUUGAAUUGUUUCUGCGUUGCCAACAUUGAAUCAAUCAGCAACAAUUCUCAUCAACGAGAUGAGUUGAGUUGGGAGAUUCUCCCCGCUCAUCAUUGUCAAUGGAGAAUCAUCACCCAUCUACGCUCUUAACCAUGGAUUCAAGUGCAUCUUCCCACGAGGAACUGGAUUUGGAGAUGAAUGGUCAAAUUAUACUUUCCCGUCCACCGGAUAUAAAUUUGCCCCUGUCUGCAGAACGCAGCCCGCCUCCGCAGUCAUGGAAUUCUGACCCGUGUGAUAUGUUAGAUGUUAGUCUUGGUACUCAAGGAUAUGAGACUGAGAGUUUCCUCACCCCCCUUCCCAAAGGUGGAAAGAAGUGUACGAAGCGAGUUGAUAGUAUAUGGGGAGCAUGGUUUUUCUUCAGCUUCUAUUUUAAGCCUGCAUUGAAUGAAAAAUCCAAGGCUAAGAUAAUCAGGGACAGCAAUGGCGUUUCUGGGUUUGAUAAAUCUGAUCUUAAGCUUGAUGUUUUCAUGGUUCAACAUGAUAUGGAAAAUAUGUACAUGUGGGUUUUCCAGGAGAGGCCGGAAAAUGCAUUGGGUAAGAUGCAGCUGAGGAGUUAUAUGAAUGGUCAUUCUCGCCAAGGGGAGCGCCCGUUUCCAUUUAGUGUUGACAGAGGCUUCGUUCGAUCUCACAGGAUGCAACGAAAGCAUUACAGAGGCCUAUCAAACCCCCAAUGUUUGCAUGGCAUUGAGGUUGUUCCUUCACCCAAUCUUUCAGGCCUUGAUGAGGAAGAGAAGAAAAGGUGGGUGGAAAUCACUGGCAGGGAUCUCAAUUUCACGAUCCCACCUGAAGCAAGUGAUUUCAGUUCAUGGAGAAAUCUCCCCAACACAGACUUUGAGCUUGAGAGACCACCUCCCCCAAUCAAGAGUGCUUCGAAUGCACCUGCAAAGAAACUACUCAAUGGAUCCGGGCUGAAUUUGUCAACUCAUCCUUCCAACCACUGUAAUGGUGAUGCGAUGGACCUAUCUCCGGUCAAUGGCAAGAGGAAGAAAGACUUAUUUCCUCAUGGGAAUGAGGAUGAUUGUUAUUUGGCUGUUAACCCCUCACCCGAUCAGAUUUCAGAUAUAGAAAUGCAUACAAGUGAGCCACACUGGCUUUCUGACUUUACAGGGGUAAUGAAGAGUGUCUAUGGUCCUGUGACAGCUGCAAAAACUAUUUACGAGGAUGAACAAGGAUACUUGAUCGUUAUCAGUCUUCCCUUUGUGGAUCUUCCGAGUGUGAAAGUUUCAUGGAGGAAUACUCUGACCCAUGGUAUCAUCAAGGUUUCUUGUGUGAGCAUAUCUGGGAAGCCAUUUAUCAAAAGACAUGAUAGAACAUUCAAGCUUACUGAUCCAUCCUCUGAACACUGCCCUCCUGGUGAGUUUGUCCGAGAGAUUCCUCUUUCGACUCGAAUUCCUGAAGAUGCCAAUAUAGAAGCAUACUUCGAUGGGUCAGGAUCAGUUCUUGAGAUCAUGGUGCCAAAACUUCGUGUGGGACCGGAAGAGCAUGAAGUUCGGGUCUGCCUUCGCCCUCAUCUGGGAGGAAAUGAUCUUAUGUUAACUUAAGAUGUGCCCUUACCAAAAACUUGUUAAGGUUGCCAAACUUGGUUUGGUUGGGUUUGGUUAAGAAUCGUCAGAAGUUUGAUACUAUUGGCUCCGGGUACGUUGCUCCGUAUGAAUAUGCGUCGUUUGUGUCUGUGUGGUGUAGUGUGGUGUGGUUGGUUCACAAUGUGAUGACCGGUACGGUCCACUAUGUCUCUGUGUUCAAGAAUUGAUGGUGUAAUUUUCAUCGUGGGAUUGGUUUUAGUUCUUACUUAGGUUUUUAGUGCCUUUGUUAGACGUUAUUAUUCAGCUGGUUUUGUAUGUUUGUGUAUUUGUUCUUUUCA